CAACAGCAGAACUUGGUGGCAGUUACAAACUUCCCCGUAUGUUUCCAAGCCACAGGGGCCAAUGAGAAUGCUGUGCUCAGGUAAACUCUUAACCCCUCUCAAAUCCGAGUCUUUCGCCCGCUCUUGAUACAGCGGUGACUACCGGGGAGCAGGGCAAUACCUCUGUCUCUCCCCCUCUCAGACUUUUGCUGCAAAUUCUAGAAGCCUGCACUUCUGACCCGGUACCCCCCAUUGGACUGUGACAUGGGAUGUCUGGUUGUUUGCUGCAGCAGCGAGCCUACCCUUACUAAUGUUCAUCGUGAGCAGAAAAGCAGGUCUACAGGGCCCAAGCAGGUCUACAGGAGGAGAAAGGGCUGCUGAUGAUUUUUCACUGUUGUCACGGGCUCGUAACUGAGCUGGGGCACCAGGUUAAGCAGCCUUGUUCUUUGGCCCUCAGACGCCUACUUUAUGGUUGGGGAAGCAGAGUCUCACAGAGGCACAAGCAGGCUACGUGGCUGCUAAGUGCGGACCUGAGAGCAUUUCACCACACCCUGGCUGUGUGGCUAAGUUAGAUGCAGGGGACACAGGAGUUCAUGGCAUUUUAAAAACAUAUACUUCCGUAAAAUCUUCUUCAAAACUUUUACAUGAUCUGGACACAGAAGUGUUUCAACCAGCCAGGCUCCCUGUGACUGUUGCGUCCCCUCUGGUGCAUCACAAACUGAGAAUCCA
rnacentral:lncRNA from 10 species